rnacentral:rRNA from 1 species
UGGGGAAUAUUGCACAAUGGGCGCAAGCCUGAUGCAGCCAUGCCGCGUGUAUGAAGAAGGCCUUCGGGUUGUAAAGUACUUUCAGCGAGGAGGAAGGCGGUAAGGUUAAUAACCUUAUCGAUUGACGUUACUCGCAGAAGAAGCACCGGCUAACUCCGUGCCAGCAGCCGCGGUAAUACGGAGGGAGCAAGCGUUAAUCGGAAUUACUGGGCGUAAAGCGCACGCAGGCGGUCUGUCAAGUCGGAUGUGAAAUCCCCGGGCUCAACCUGGGAACUGCAUUCGAAACUGGCAGGCUAGAGUCUUGUAGAGGGGGGUAGAAUUCCAGGUGUAGCGGUGAAAUGCGUAGAGAUCUGGAGGAAUACCGGUGGCGAAGGCGGCCCCCUGGACAAAGACUGACGCUCAGGUGCGAAAGCGUGGGGAUCAAACA